GCUUAGAAGCAGCCAUCAUUUAAAGAGUGCGUAAUAGCUCACUAGUCGAGUGACACUGCGCCGAAAAUGUACCGGGGCUAAACAUAUUACCGAAGCUGUGGAUUGUCCUUUGGACAAUGGUAGGAGAGCGUUCUAAGGGCGUCGAAGCAUGAUCGCAAGGACAUGUGGAGCGCUUAGAAGUGAGAAUGCCGGUGUGAGUAGCGAAAGACGGGUGAGAAUCCCGUCCACCGAUUGACUAAGGUUUCCAGAGGAAGGCUCGUCCGCUCUGGGUUAGUCGGGUCCUAAGCUGAGGCCGACAGGCGUAGGCGAUGGAUAACAGGUUGAUAUUCCUGUACCACCUAUGGAUUCGUUUGAGUGAUGGAGUGACGCAGGAGGAUAGGGUAAGCGCGGCGCUGGUCGUCCGCGUCCAAGCAAUAAGAGGGGUCGUGAGGCAAAUCCUUAUGACCAUAACCUCAAGUUGUGAUUGGCGAGGGAAAUUUAAGUACCGAAGUUCCUGAUUUCACACUGCCAAGAAAAGCUUCUAGCGAGAAUCCGGGUGCCCGUACCGCAAACCGACACAGGUAGGCGAGGAGAGAAUCCUAAGGUGAGCGAGAGAACUCUCGUUAAGGAACUCGGCAAAAUGACCCCGUAACUUCGGGAGAAGGGGUGCUCU
rnacentral:rRNA from 1 species